AUGCUUUACUUUCCAGGCCAAGAGAGCCACCAGGAGAGGACCUGCCCUCCCAGUCAUUACUGUCCCCAGGGCACUGGCCACAUCCCCUUUCCUUGCCCUCAGGACAUGUCCAGUCCAUGGAAGGGCCAAAGCCCAGCCCAGAGCUGUGGGCUAUGUUUUGCAGGAGCUGAAGUCACCCAACCUGACGGAGGCAUCCAUGACAUGGCAGGGGGCCCCUGCCCUCCAGGCCACUUCUGUCCAGUGGGCACAGCAGUGCCCCUGCCUUGCCCUGUGGGUACCUUCUCAGAUCGGAUGUUUCUCACCAUGGCAUCGGAGUGCCUGUCCUGCCCCUUUGGCCAUUUCUGUGGUGCAUCUGGCCUCACUGCCCCCUCUGGACCAUGUUCACCUGGCUACUUCUGUAUGGAAGGAGUCUCCUCCCCAACCCCAGCAGGCCACGCAGAGCAUGGGGGGCCCUGUCCCCAAGGCCACUUCUGCCCCAGUGGGACCAGCCUUCCCCAUCCUUGCCCUGCUGGCUCCUACAGCAACCUGACUGGCCAAGCAUCCUGCUUCCCCUGCCCUGCUGGCUAUUACUGCCCUGAGAACAUCACCACUUACAGCGGGCACCCCUGCCCCACUGGCUUCUACUGCCCCAGAGGCACCAAAUAUGCCACCCAGUUCCCCUGCCCUCGGGGCUACUACAACCCAGACCCAAUGACCCAGAGCCUGGACAGCUGCCUGCCUUGUCCCCCAGGCCACUACUGUGGGCAGGAGAAUCUGACCCAGGCCUCUGGACCAUGUGAUGCAGGCUGGUUCUGCGUCUCAGCAGCCUGGACCGCCCGCCCCUUUGACCUGGACAACUACACCAGCACCAAUUGCCUGUGUCCAGCCACGGCUACAGGGGGGAAGUGUCCAGCUGGAUCCUUCUGCCCUGAGGGCAGCUCAGAACCCAUGCCCUGCCCACCAGGCUCUUUCUGCGCCACCUCUGGCCUGUCCACACCCAGUGGGCCCUGCCAGGCUGGCUACUUCUGUGCCAAGGGAGCAGUGUCCCCAGCUCCAGAGGAUGGGCUGACAGGGGCCCCCUGUCCCCCAGGAACCUUCUGCCCUGCAGCAUCACACAGGCCAACACUGUGUCCCGCUGGCACCUUCUCCGGCCUCGCAGAGCAGACCAUGCCCUCUGCAUGCCAGACCUGUCCACGAAGCUUCUACUGCAAGGAGGCUGGUCUACAGGCCCCCAGUGGGCCUUGCCCAGCAGGUUAUUACUGCGACUCUAGUGCUGGGCCCAUCAAGGACUUCAGCCUAUAUCCUUGUCCUCAAGGCUAUUACUGCCCCCUGGGCACAGCCAUGGCCACACACCACAGGUGCCCAGUAGGUACAUAUGGCCCUCGGAGAGGGCUAAGGAGCAUCACUGAAUGCCAGCUGUGCCCUGCUGGGAAAUUCUGUGCACUGGCAGGGCUCGCGGCACCAACAGGUAUGUCCUGGAGGGCAGAAAAGGACUUCGGCAUAGGGUGGGCUUGA
ensembl:lncRNA